rnacentral:rRNA from 1 species
UGAACGCUAGCGGCAGGCUUAACACAUGCAAGUCGAGGGGCAGCGAGUUAGUUUAGCAAUAAAUUAAUGUCGGCGACCGGCGCAAGGGUGCGUAACGCGUGAGAAACAUACCUAUUACAGGAGGAUAAACCUUGGAAACGGGGCCUAAUACUCCAUAGUAUUAUUAUCAGGCAUCUGAUAAUAAUUAAAGCGACUUAGUGGUAAUAGAUUGUCUCGCGUGACAUUAGUUAGAUGGUAAGGUAACGGCUUACCAUGACUACGAUGUCUAGGGGUUCUGAGAGGAAGGUCCCCCACACUGGUACUGAGACACGGACCAGACUCCUACGGGAGGCAGCAGUGAGGAAUAUUGGACAAUGGAUGGAAAUCUGAUCCAGCCAUGCCGCGUGCAGGAUAACAGCCCUAUGGGUUUUAAACUGCUUUUGUAUGGGAGCAAUAAGCUCUACGUGUAGAGUGAUGAGAGUACCAUACGAAUCAGCAUCGGCUAACUCCGUGCCAGCAGCCGCGGUAAUACGGAGGAUGCAAGCGUUAUCCGGAUUUAUUGGGUUUAAAGGGUGCGUAGGCGGCUUUGUAAGUCAGUGGUGAAAUUUUGAAUGCUUAACAUUUACCGUGCCAUUGAAACUGCGAGGCUAGAAUUUGCAUGCUGUUAGCGGAAUGUGUAGUGUAGCGGUGAAAUGCAUAGAUAUUACACAGAACACCAAAUUGCGAAGGCAGCUAACAAAAGCAUUAAUUGACGCUGAUGCACGAAAGUGUGGGUAUCAAACAGGAUUAGAUACCCUUGGUAGUCCACACAGUAAACGAUGAUAACUAUCUGUUGGCGAUAUAUAGUCAGUGGACAAGCGAAAGCGAUAAGUUAUCCACCUGGGGAGUACGACCGUAAGGUUGAAACUCAAAGGAAUUGACGGGGGCCCGCACAAGCGGAGGAACAUGUGGUUUAAUUCGAUGAUACGCGAGGAACCUUACCCGGGCUCGAACGGUAUGUGAACGCGGCAGAGAUGCCAAGGUCUUUCGGGACACAUAUCGAGGUGCUGCAUGGUUGUCGUCAGCUCGUGCCGUGAGGUGUCGGCUUAAGUGCCAUAACGAGCGCAACCCCUGUUGUUAGUUACCAUCAAGUAAAGUUGGGGACUCUAACAAGACUGCCACCGUAAGGUGUGAGGAAGGUGGGGAUGACGUCAAAUCAGCACGGCCCUUACGUCCGGGGCGACACACGUGUUACAAUGGCAGGUACAGAUUGAAGCGAAAUAGUGAUAUUAAGCCAAUCAUAUAAAACCUGUCUCAGUUCGGAUUGAAGUCUGCAACUCGACUUCAUGAAGUUGGAUUCGCUAGUAAUCGCGCAUCAGCCAUGGCGCGGUGAAUACGUUCCCGGGCCUUGUACACACCGCCCGUCAAGCCAUGGGAGCUGGGGGUGCCUGAAGUUCGUGACCGUAAGGAGCGA